rnacentral:rRNA from 1 species
GAACCUACCUUGUACAGGGGAAUAGCCCAGGGAAACUUGGAUUAAUGCCCCGUAGUACCGUGACCCGGCAUCGGGAUACSGUUAAAGCCUUCGGGCGGUAUAAGAUGGCCAUGCGUCCCAUUAGCUAGUUGGUAAGGUAACSGCUUACCAAGGCUACGAUGGGUAGGGGCCCUGAGAGGGGGAUCCCCCACACUGGUACUGAGACACGGACCAGACUCCUACGGGAGGCAGCAGUGAGGAAUAUUGGACAAUGGAGGAGACUCUGAUCCAGCCAUGCCGCGUGCAGGAAGAAUGCCCUAUGGGUAGUAAACUGCUUUUAUACGGGAAGAAAAAAGGGUACGUGUACUCUACUGACGGUACCGUAAGAAUAAGGACCGGCUAACUCCGUGCCAGCAGCCGCGGUAAUACGGAGGGUCCGAGCGUUAUCCGGAAUUAUUGGGUUUAAAGGGUCCGUAGGCGGGCCGAUAAGUCAGGGGUGAAAGUUUGCAGCUCAACUGUAAAAUUGCCUUUGAUACUGUUGGUCUUGAGUUAUAGUGAAGUUGCCGGAAUAUGUAGUGUAGCGGUGAAAUGCAUAGAUAUUACAUAGAACACCGAUUGCGAAGGCAGGUGACUAACUAUAUACUGACGCUGAUGGACGAAAGCGUGGGGAGCGAACAGGAUUAGAUACCCUGGUAGUCCACGCCGUAAACGAUGGAUACUAGCUGUCCGAGGCCUUGAGUCUUGGGCGGCC